rfam:Brachypodium distachyon strain Bd21 chromosome 4, whole genome shotgun sequence.
UAUGUACUCCCUCCGUCCCAUAUUAAGUGCCGAAAUAUUACAUUUAUCUAGACGCUUUUUAGGUACAGAUACAUGCAUAUUUGGACAAAUUUAAGUCACUUAAUUUGGGACGGAGGGAGUAUUUC